rnacentral:piRNA from 1 species
UUUUUGAUGUUUUGUGUAAAUUUGAUUUUU